AAAAAGGCAAACCCUGGGUUUCCGUGUCCAACGACUGUCCGUCUUAUAUGAAAAUUUUUUAUAAUUCGUAUUUUCAUUGUUGUUAGAUGAUAAAACAUGAUUAAUAUUUUAUGCGUGACUUGUCUUUUUAUUUUUUUCAUAUUUUUUUCAAAUAAGACGAACGGUCAAACGUUGGGCACGAAAACCAGGGUUUGUCUUUUU
rfam:Oryza rufipogon genomic scaffold, chr01